GGAUUGUUGCAGUUUAACCCCCAAUUCUCACCGCAUCCAGAACGGUGCCGAUCCGGAACGGCGGUGAUUCCACUGUCCGCCAAUUCCUACCAGAUCUGUUUUGUGUGGUGCAUUUCGUGGCGGAUUACGGACAGCGGUAAUCGCGAGAACUCACAAGAACCCACGGAAUCACGCAAUAACAAGUUGUCUUUAGCCACAUAGACUAACCGUAGAUACAGUAGAUUGUGUCCUUCCAGAGGAGGAAAUCUACUUCUAGACUUCUAGAAUCAGCAUCUCCUCAUCCAUGGUGUCAUCGGGGUGAAAUGACGUCUAAAAACCUUUCACUUGUUCGUCUCCGCCGUCUUAGAGUGUUUUAUUUUGAAAAGAAGCCGGGUGUUUUAUUUUGUGUCUGUGCCCGACUUCCUUUCCAGCACGGGUUAAUCUGUGCUGAAUUUAUCCGCCAUGCUCCGGCGUCCGGAAAAAAUAGAACUCAAUAGAACUUUCAAAUUAAGUAUACUAAGCAUAGUAUGUACUCGAUUGUGCAGUGUGUGAGUUUCCAAGGUGCAGUGCUGUCUUAAAUCGCAUACUGACACGCCACACACUCACCGAAAAUGAUGACAUGAUUUUCCUCAUGUCUGAACAUUUAUUGUGCAUAACAGAAAAAUAACAAACUACUUACAUAUAAAAACAUUUAGAAAAAGAAAACUAAAGAAACCCUAUUUACAUAUUAAACAUUCGGAACCUGGUAACUAAAGAAAUUACUUACAAAUUAAGCAUUUAAAACUAGAAAGAAGCUAUUUACAAAAAAACUACUUUUUAAAUAUUUUUUAUAUAAUAUAUAUAAAAUGUUAAUAUAUAAUAUAAUAUAAUAUAAAAUAUAAAUGCAAUUUAUUACUUACAUCUGUACAAAGCUCCCAGGCCGAGUGUCGCCGACCCACUGGCACCACAGCCAAUCGCAGCCAUUCUUACUGUGGGCGAUCGUCCACAGUUGCAUACUCAAAAUCUUGACUGAUUUGAGUACGUCAUCCGGGUACUUUUGCGUACUCAAUUUUCACAUUCUAUCCAUACUUUUUUCCAUUUAAAGUUGAGUAUACUCAAAUUUUUAAGCAUUUAGUAUGGAUGUGUGCCGUUUGGGACACACGUGUCCACAGACCUGAUGAAACACAUCAUGGCUGUCUGCACAAUGAAACCUUUUUUGAGUUAACUUUUUUUUUAAAGUCUUUAAUCUGGUCUUGCUAAGUGUCCUGGUCUGGGUGUAGACCAACCUCAUGUCUUCAAAAAUAAUAAGUGCUGAAUGUUGCAGUUCCUGCAGUGUCCACUUGAGGCUGACUCAAUGAUCACAAGAAGCCACAUACACACUCAUUCAAGUUCUGCAUUAUUAGGGGCGUGGCUAAUUUGACUGACAGGUGUAGCUGUUAGUGCGACGGCUAGCGAGCCACCAUGAUUCCGCCUCUUUGUUUCUUGUUUGGACAACAGAUGGAUUAAGUCGUGAACUUUUUCAUCGAUCAGUUUCAUUGAUCCGUGAUCAGUAUUGUUAAACAUGGAUGGACACCUAGGAGCUAGUCCAGGCAGGCAAUUCAAGCAUGCAUGACUUUCACAGUCACCUCAACAAACAUACAGUAUCUGUUUGAGCUGCAGCCGAGGAGUUUGAGACACCGUCUCAUCAGCCCAACUUCUGCAUGUUACAGUUAAACCUGCAAGAUCUGACUCCAAAAACCAACAACGUUCAGCUGCUGCAAUAAAGUUUCUACAACAGCUGACUCUCAAAUCCAGGAGCUACUUCCUCUUUCUGUGGGAUCUGGACACCAAAAUCCUCAAAAAGUCUUGUGACAAAGUACAGGAGUCUGAAGUUUGUGGAUUCAUGCAAACUUUUUCUGAACAUUUCCAAAAAGUUUAUCUGCUGUUGCAUGUUGGUACUCGCACUUCAUUUUUCAUGCAAAGUCCAUCAGGCUGCAAGUCACAGAGUUUUCAAAUCUGCACAAGAAAAUCAGUCUUUCUGUGGAGCUUUGCAGCCGACAGGUUCAUGAAGCACCUUAAAGGAAGAAGAGGGGAAGAAAAGGAGAACUACGUGCGGUACGAGUGAGAGAGGGAGUGAAUGAAUGAGUCGACUCCUGUUAUGCAACACGGAGUUGCUGCAAAACAUUGAGUAACUGCUCCCUGCUGUCUGAGUUCAGGCUCGAGACUUUUUGUCAGAGAAAGACGGAGCAGGAAUGUGUGUGUGUGUGUGUGUGUGUGUGUGUGUGUGUGUGUGUAUUCAGAGUCCUGCACAUUCAACUAAGCAGACGAGAAAAGAACAGCAGCAAAUCAAAGUAAGACGAGACAAAAAAAGAGAAGUUUGUAGCAGGAGAGGGGAAAAAAAAAGAAGGCCCAAACUGAAGGGAGAAAAACAGGCUGUAAGGGAACAGAGAGAAAGAGAGAGUGAGAGGAGGAGGAGGAGAAAAAAAAGAGGGAGGGUUAUGUAACUUUGUCCUCAAGAAGCCUUGCCAAAACUCGGCUUGGCUCGCCCUCGCUACUACGACGACAGAGAUUUUCUCAUGGAACAGAUUAAACGGCGCUCAGGCGGGAGACCAGCAGAUGCAUGAUGGAUCCAGGCUCUCCCAGUUCCUUCUCACUGUAGUAAAAGUCUGCAACAGAGCACUCUGUGUGACUUUGCAGCACCACCACAUGUAGGACCAGUGUGGUUUCGCUCAAGAGCGCAGAUAAAAUUAUAAAAAGUUCCUCCAGAAGUCGGAGCUCCACUUGGCGCAGAUUUAAAGCUCUUGGCCUCUUUUAAUCGGUCAUCUGCUGUUUCACAUGCUCAUGUCAGGUUAAACACUCGAACCGCUCCUCUGCAUGUUUGGUUGUGAUGUCGCUGUCCAAGCAAGUCUCGCUUUAGUCAGAUUUAGAGGGAAAACAAGCGACUCAUUUAUCUUCCAAGAAAGCAAACCAGAGACUGCUGAGUCUGGAUUCAGGAGCAUCUGAGCGAUGACCACUUCCUUUACGCAACAUCCAGCUGCUCCUCUCUGAAAAAAAGGGAAGUCGAGACAAAAGGAGUCUUCUUCCAUUAUUGUGAAGUAAAGUGCUGACUCUCCUCUGAUUUCACUUCUGUUGUGUUUUUAAAAUCUCUGGAAGUUUCAAAGUGAACACUGAUAGAUGGUUUUGGACCUCAGACUGUCUAUAAACAGUUAAAAUGCGUCAUGUUGCUAUUUCCUUAUUUUCAUGGUUAAACUUUCUCAGUGCCGUUAACGAGGCUUCAACUUAGUGACCAACAAGGAGCAGCUGAAGAUCAACACAGACACAGAAAGCAUGGUUAGCUUCAUUUGGAAAAGGUUUAACCACCAAAUUUCCACUGCAUCCUGAUCGUCUACUAAAAGGUCGUAUCCGCCGAUCGCAGCUGAUCGUAACCAUUCAAGUUAACGUGUCAAUUUACACCGACUUCUUUCUGUUCCUCUGCAGAUCGCCGGACUCCUCAGCUGAUCACAAGAGUUCUACUUUUUCCAGACACCGGAGCAUGGCGGAUAAAUUCAGCACAGAUUAACCCGUGCUGGAAAGGAAGUCGGGCACAGACACAAAAUAAAACAGAGACAAACAAGUGAAAGGUUUUUAGACGUCAUUUCACCCCGAUGACACCAUGGAUGAGGAGAUGCUGAUUCUAGAAGUCUAGAAGUAGAUUUCCUCCUCUGGAAGGACACAAUCUACUGCUUAUAUGGUUAGCCUACGUGGCUGAAGACAACUUGUCGCACGAUUGCACGUGAUUCCGCGGGUUCUUUUGAGUUCUCGCGAUUCCUGCUGUCCAUAAUCCGCCACAAAAUUCACCUCACAAAUGGAUCAGGUGGGAAUUGGCCAUUCCGGAUGUAGUGGAAAUCCCUGGUGAGGUUUUCUUUGUUCGUUUUCUUGGAGGUAGCGCCCAAUUUGAAGCAGCCAAAAAUCCACAAGCAGCAAGACAAGACAACCUACUAGUCGCAAUCCCACCUCCAAAGGAAGUGUUUAUGAGCUACUUAGCAAAAUAAAAGACCAUGACUGGACUGCAUGAAGGCUAUCUGUGGUGCAGAACCUCAACAACUUCUAAAAAGUGCUUCUCAGAUAUUCAAACGUCACAGCUGGCCGCUAAGAAUGACAUUAAUAGCAGCGUAUGCCCUCCAUGUUUGUGGAAAAUCUUCACUGUAUUUCUGAGGUUAACAGUGUUAUUCAAUGGUCAGGUUACGAUGAGCCAGCAGAGAAAGCAACUUUCUCCCCGAGUUUGAACAAAUACCUUCACCUCUAUGUGUAAAACCAAGGAGAUAAUGGGGACAGACUACUCGAUAUUUGAGCAUAUCUCACCCCUAACACCCCCAUCACUCAUCAAAUCCAUCCCAGCCCACAACAGAGUAACUUCUGCAAGAUGUGGCAGGACCAGAAUCCAAGACUGAACAUGAGAGAGCCCAAACCAAACGUGACUGCAGAUCUGUCGAGUUCCCCGUCGACUGAGAGACCUCCCAUCGAUGACUAAGAAACCCAACCAGCUGAUUCAGCAGUUUCAUAAUGCUGGUUACAGCUAAAGUAAUCAGUGUAAGCCAGGCCUGUCAUAACAACUGCUCUCCCCUGUGACUCACAUCCUCAAAACAUAAAACAGAUCUACUGUGAAGAACAGAAACUGAUGCAUAAAUCUCCAUAAAUCACGAAAACUACAACUUCUGAAAACGAGAAGUGAGUGGAGCAGAAAAAACAUGAAUGUGGUGUCGAUUCACUUCUCCAUCAGACCGCGAUAAAGUGUAAGACCAGUCCUUUCAAUAUGGCCGCCCCAAGUCAACUGCUAACUGUCAUAUCUCUGUCUGAGUCACCGUCAGAUCAGGAUGGUUUAAAGUCCUCAGAAAUACACUUUACAUAAUCCACCUUUGACGUCCCUCGUUCAGUUCAUCUGUGCAUGAGAGGAAAUAGACAUGAGGAAGUAAAAACCAUUGUUUACCACACAUAGACAAUACCGGGACUAAAGUAUACUAGCCCACCUGUUUAGCGCCUUUUAGUCUUCUUCAUUCAUGAAAUAUUACAAUUCAUCAUCAGCGAUUCUCCAACCAUUGAACUAGAGGACGAGAUUUACUUCAAAACUAGUUUGGCACUGUUUGCAACAACCAACAUCGAAAAUGGAGAAUAGAGUCGUUGGAUGGUCGUCAAGCUCUGGUCGAUACGUCUACAUUGGAUCUGCGCUGUAGCCUUUACUGCAGGUCUGUGCGGCCCUGUACCCAAUGCAGAGACCUGCGAGGUGUCAAAAUGACGUGGAUCAGCAGCUCUGUAAUUGGUCGGCCUGGCUACGAACAUUUUGGGGACCACCUCUGACCGAAAGCGUGAGCUGCUUGUGUGCAAACAAGGAGGGAAUGGGACUGGAAACCGGAGAGCUGUCUUUUGGCGCCCCUUGUAUGCCGAUUGAAUUCUUCAGGGGAAACAUCGUGACUUUAAACUCCAACAGUUCAUGAUAUUGUUUUUCGUUGCAGCGUGCGUCUAAAGUCUGUGUCAGAUCUUUAAACGCUACCUUGAACCCUCGCACUCUUUGCCCCAUCAUGUCGUCCAAUCAUGUGUGCCUCCCUCUCUUCCUCUAACAACUCCGCUCUCCCAUUUACCGCCUAAUUGGGCUCUCAAGGAUAAUGGCCUAUUUGUUUGUUUGUGUGAGUGCGAGCGAUCAAGAGUCUGUGGGUGUAGCACUGAGUGUCUAUCUGCAUGUGUUGCUCUAUUUGCAUGACUGGCUUGUGUGUGUGUGUGUGUGUGUGUUUGUGUGAAAGUGUGUGUGUGUGUUUGUUUUGAAGACGGCCCCUUUCCUCAAUGUUAAUGUCAGCUGAACGAGGUAGAUCUAUGGCAGGUGUGAGAACAGCUUGAGGCUCGUGUCAUUAGCCCGCCACCGGUGUCACUCCGUCCUGUGCAGAUCCAGCCUGGCACCAGCCAUCCACCACAUGCCCACACAAACACACACAAACGCACAAACACACACACACACACACACUUUUAUUAAAGUGUAUGCGCAGUAAAAGGGUUUAAUGUGUUCGAGCGCUGAUCUCUGAGACUGUUAAACUGAUUAAGGAGGAACCCGAGGCAGACUUCAUGAGGAGCCGCCUCACUUUGUCGUACAUUUACACACGCAGAUUAAAGGGACAUUUCUGUCAUUUUUAAAGGAAGGUUCUUUGAGUUACAGAAGUGUAUUAACCGGUCAGUUUGGUGUUUUUCACAAGAAACUGCUGGGGGAACCGGCACACAAGCUAGGCUAGAGUUUUAGCAGACGGAGCUUCGUCUUGACUGUAAAUCUGUCUGUAGCGCGCUGAGCAGCUGUUUGGUCUACAGGCUUUAAAGAGACACAAAUACGACCAAACUAAAAAGAAAACGGUGAUUCUGAUGACGCCGAUGACGCCGUUGUGCAAACUGGACUUUGCAUGGGAAAAACUUUGCUACAUGUGCUAAAGGGAUAAAACGGAGAAAUUUCUAUAGUAACUUUAGAGUGGUAGGAUCCCGAGUUACCUGUCUGAACUACGCCAUAGGUUCGCAGUUAUUAGCAUGAUAUAUAUUUGUGUUGUAGUGUCCACGUCACACUGCAAUAUUCCAACUAAAUGCAAAUCAGUAGAGCUUAUGCUGCGUUCCAGUUACCUCGGACGUCGGAGCUGGGAAUGACGCUACACCCGAGUCGACAGCGUUACAGUAAACAAGUCGGAAAACCAAGAUGGACGCCUACAGUUACCCGCUGUUAGCAUUUUUUUCAAUUGUCAGCUGUCAUUAGCUGUUGUUAGUGAUACCAGUUGUAAACACAGUAUUUGACUCUUACAAACACCAUAGCACCGUGUUCACAGUUAGACGUUGGGUGGUACAACAUAAACCACUUACUUGAUUUCACUAAAACGAAACAGAAGUGCAAAUAAAUAAAACAUUACGAGAGCUUUUACUGAUACUCUUUACUGUUGAUCCACUGCGCUGCCAAAUUAAAUUAUGACGUUGACAUCAGGGGGGCAUUCCAGAUGAAUUUCCGACUUGGAAAUCCUGACUUCCGAGGACAACUGGAACGCAGCAGUAGUCGACGCUCGUUAUUUCAUCACUUCCUGAAAACGUCCGUCACCAAGAUGACUAAUCACGGGGCUUGCGGUCCAUGUUGUUUUGAUGCAUAGUUACAUUUUGAAAGGGGAACUGUGCAGAAUCAAGAAGCAGACUUCAGUUAAAUCAAAUAUUGCAGAAGUUCACAUGAGGCUGAAGUCUGUAACCACCAUGGACCAUCAGAGAGUCAUCAGUAAAGCCAAGUAAACCAAAAUGAUUGAAACCUUGUGGCAGACUUCAUGUCUUCAGAAAACUCCAAUCCCCCUGGCAGUUUGACUAAAGAGGCCGAGCUGAUCGGCAUUAAAGAAAAAGUCUGAAACAUCCCUUUAAGCAUCCCUGAACAUGUUGGUCAUUGUUUGACUUUCUUACCUGCAGACUUUCUGGGAGUUUUCUCCUGACUGGCACGUCUGUCACUCUUCAUUUGGCUCUUGGUCGUGUAAAAGUCGACUCCAAGCAGAAAUUCUUUCUCGUCCUCCAGAUUUAAAAGAAAGUGAAAAGUGAGAGCAGCUCAGUAGGUGUUGAAGUGUCACAUCUCGAGCGUUUCACACUUUUGAAUGUGCAACGGUCAACAUGAGCGGGGGGGGCUCGGCGGUAGACGAGGCUCAGAGUCGGGACAAAGUGACAGACUGCCCUGGUAAGCCUUUGGCACCGUCAUCUCGCUGCAGAGCGGGUAACUCUGCGUGACACGACCACAGGAGACGGGGAAUGAAUUUCCCACCAAGGGCGCAUGGCUUUGGGGUGAUUAACAAGGUAAAUGUUACUCAAUACUAAUUAAGACUUAUUGAUGUUGAUUAAUGUGCAUUUAAGGCGCCAUAAAUGUUUAAUUCUCCUUCAGCAAAUGGAAACGCCCCCGGUGGUUUUACCUUGAACUAAUUUAUGCGCAUGUUAAAUGGAGGAGUGGAAAUGAGCAGUUUGGGGUUUUAUAGCUCGGUCUAAUCUUUGAAGAUCAUCCAGGAAAAAAAGUUCUUAUUUAAAAUGAUGAACUUGUCGACUAUGAUGAGUCAAUCUUCUAUGGCACUUACAUAGUAUUUGAUGUUUUUACAAAUAGAGGACCUAAACGAAGAUGAUUUUGCCUGAUACAUGAGACGUCAGAAGUAUAUACAGUACAGGCCAAAAAUUUGGACACACUUUCUCAUUCAAUGCAUUUUCUUUGUUUUCAUUACUAUUUAAAUUGUAGAUUCUCAAAACUAUGAAUGAACACAUGUAGAAUCAUGUGCUUAAGACAAAAGUGGGUCAUGAAGUGGUUUUCAAAUCAAGUGCUCAAACUUUGGGUCGUUUCUCCCAAACCUGCAGCUC